rnacentral:rRNA from 1 species
UAAUGUCCUAUAGUAUCCUCCCUCAGACAGAAGGGGGAUUUAAAGGUGAAAACCGCCGAAGGAUUGGAAUAUGUCCUAUUAGCUAGUUGGCGGGAUAAAAGCCCACCAAGGCAAUGAUAGGUAGCUGGUCUAAGAGGAUGAACAGCCACAAUGGGAUUGAGAUACGGCCCAUAUUCCUACGGGAAGCAGCAGUAGGGAAUCUUCCACAAUGGGCGAAAGCCUGAUGGAGCAAUGCCAUGUGAAUGAUGAAGGCCAGACAGGUCGUAAAGUUCUUUUAGAGGGGAAAAAUCUGAUGGUACCCUCUGAAUAAGUGACAGCA